rnacentral:rRNA from 1 species
AGCGAACGCUGGCGGCAGGCUUAACACAUGCAAGUCGAGCGGGCAUCCUUGUCGUGUCUGCGGCAGACGGGUGAGUAACGCGUGGGAACGUGCCCUUCGGUUCGGCCUAACCCUGGGAAUCUUGACCUAAUACCGGAUACGUUCGCGAGCAGAAGCGCUUAUUUGCCGAUGGAUCGGCGCGCGUCUGAUUAGCUAGUUGGUGAGGUUAUGGCUCACCACUGCUACGAUGAGUAGCUGGUCUGAGAGGAUGAUCAGCCACACUGGGAAUGAGACACGGCCCAGACUCCGACGGGAGGGAGCAGAGGGGAAUAUUGGAGAAGGGGGGCAAACCUGAUACAGCCAUGCGGCGGGAGUGAUGACGGCCUUAGGGUUGUAAAGCUGUUUGCGACGGGACGAUAAUGACGGUACCGGAGGAAUAAGCCCCGGCUAACUUCGUG